AGAGUUUGAUCAUGGCUCAGAACUAACGCUGGCGGCGUGCCUAACACAUGCAAGUCGUACGAGAAAGUUGGCUUCGGCCGAUGAGUAAAGUGGCGCACGGGUGAGUAACGCGUGGAUAAUCUACCCCUCAGUUGGGAAUAACUCAUCGAAAGGUGGGCUAAUACCGAAUAAUACUGCAUAACUUCUGUUGUGUAGUCAAAGAUGGCCUCUGCUUGCAAGCUAUCGCUGAAGGAUGAGUCCGCGUACCAUUAGCUAGUUGGUAGGGUAAUGGCCUACCAAGGCAACGAUGGUUAGCUGGUCUGAGAGGAUGAUCAGCCACACUGGAACUGAGACACGGUCCAGACUCCUACGGGAGGCAGCAGUGAGGAAUAUUGCGCAAUGGGGGCAACCCUGACGCAGCAACGCCGCGUGAGUGAGGAAGGUUUUCGGACCGUAAAGCUCUGUCGAGCGGGAAGAAAUGCAUAGUGGUUAAUAUCCAUUAUGCUUGACGGUACCGCUAAAGGAAGCACCGGCUAACUCCGUGCCAGCAGCCGCGGUAAUACGGGGGGUGCUAGCGUUGUUCGGAAUCAUUGGGCGUAAAGAGCGUGUAGGCGGCUGGAUAAGUCAGAUGUGAAAGCCCUGGGCUUAACCCAGGAAGUGCAUUUGAAACUGUUCAGCUUGAGUAAGGGAGAGGAAAGUGGAAUUCCUGGUGUAGAGGUGAAAUUCGUAGAUAUCAGGAGGAACACCGGUGGCGAAGGCGACUUUCUGGCCCUAUACUGACGCUGAGACGCGAGAGCGUGGGUAGCAAACAGGAUUAGAUACCCUGGUAGUCCACGCUGUAAACGAUGUUCACUAGGUGUUGGGGGUAUUGACCCUCUCAGUGCCGCAGCUAACGCAUUAAGUGAACCGCCUGGGGAGUACGGUCGCAAGAUUAAAACUCAAAGGAAUUGACGG
rnacentral:rRNA from 1 species